GGACCGAUAGCUCAGUGGUAGAGCGCAGGAUUGCAGUUCUUAGUCAUGUUAUCCCGAGGUCGCGUGUUCGAUCCACGCUCGGUCCU